ACAAGGUUUCCGUAGGUGAACCUGCGGAGGGAUCAUUA
rnacentral:rRNA from 1 species